rnacentral:rRNA from 1 species
GAUGAACGCUGGCGGCGUGCCUAAUACAUGCAAGUCGAGCGAACGGACGCGACGCUUGCUUUUCUGUUGUUAGCGGCGGACGGGUGUGUAACACGUGGAUAACCUCCCUAUAAGACUGGUAUAACUUCGGGAAACCGGCUCUAAUACCGGAUAAUAUUUUGAACCGCAUGGUUCAAAAGUGAAAGACGGUCUUUCUGUCUCUUAUAGAUGGAUCCGCGCUGCAUUAGCUAGUUGGUAAGGUAACGGCUUACCAAGGCAACGAUGCAUAGCCGACGUGAGAGGGUGAUCGGCCACACGGGAACUGAGACACGGUCCAGACGCCUACGGGAGGCAGCAGUAGGGAAUCUGCCGCAAUGGGGGAAAGCAUGACGGAGCAACGCGGCGUGAGAGAUGAAGGUCUUCGGAUCGUAAAACUCUGUUAUUAGGGAAGAACAUAUGUGUAAGUAACUGAGCACAUCUUGACGGUACCUAAUCAGAAAGCAACGGCUAACUACGUG